AAACACAUAUGUCUUCUUCGGGUCAAGAGGACAGGACUCAAAGUUUGAUAACGCCGUCUGAAAUUUUCGAGCUUCCCGCCCCUGCGUUUUAAAAUGACCGCCUAAGGAAUGGCAAAGAAAAAGGGGGGUUACAUUUAACAUCUUAUCAUCAUCAAUUGCAGCUUCUAACCCAACCAGACUCAACUAAAGUUGGAGAGAGAAUUUAGAGAGAAAAAGUGAAACCCCUCCCCCACAAAAAAAAUCGAGGGCUGCUUCAAGUCCGGCCGGAGCCGAAGCCGAAGCCGAAGUUGUAGCGGAAGCCGAGGAAGACAAACGGGACAGACAAUCAAGGUUUUGAUUGGCGGGAGACAAUUUGGUGUUCUGCUAUGGCCUUCCGCUCCUUGUUCUGCUAUGCAAAGGGUUUGGAUCAGGGAGUUAAAUCUUAAUUUUCUGUGUGCUUUUCACUCUGCGGAGCUUGUUGAUCCCAUUUGGGUCUUGUUUUACUGAACGUUUUGAUAUUGUUAGUUGUCUCAAUAAUUCGCGGAUUUUGCUCCCAUUUGUGGCUUAUUUUUAGGUUCACAUCUGCUUUAGAGAUUUCAUGGGCACUGUGAAUUGCCUGGUUGGCUCUCUGUUUGGUGUGCUGGAAAUUUCACUGAGCAGAACUUGACAUUCCAACUAAGGAAUACCUUGCUUAUGCACACGUGAGUGCUAGUAUAUAUGUGUGUAUUAAAAAAAGAGAAAAAAAAGUGACGUGAGAGGGAGAAGGAGAGCGGAGGGGUUGACGAGGUCGCAAGUGACCUCAAUUGGCAAGAGUCGCCCUAACCCUCCUAACUCGAAAUUGACCUUUCUUAUUUUUCUUUUUAUUGGGGGUAGGAGGCGAUAAAUCUAAGAAAGAGAAUGCAAGUAUAUAUAUAUAGCACAAGUAAUAUAGAAUGAGUAUGAGUCUCGUUCUUGUUAAAGGUGUUUCGCAUCAAACUCGGAAGACUGGAAAGACUCGAAGACUCGAAAGUGAGAACGAAGAUCGACCGAAGAUAAGGAAUCUGCGAAGUGUACUGAGGUAGAUAUUGGAGUGUGCUUAGGCACACUUUAACUGAAGCGCCAGAAUUUUGGUACCGAGGCACCAUUUUUUCGUGUUGAGACACGGCUAGUCGAGUGCAAGAUAUACUCGUGAUGAUGUUUCCAUUUUGGUCUAAUUUCGUUGCAACUCAUAGAUAACUUUUUAGACGGUCUUGUACAUAUAUUUAGUGAUAAAUAUUUUGAGAUAUAUAUUAUGGAUAUGAGUCUUGUAAUCUAUAUAUAGAGAUAUUCUUGAAGGACUAUGUAAGACGGUGAAGAUCAUGAGAAAGAACUUAGUAUGAGACUCAUCUUAGUGAGAGUAGGUCGGGUUUGGACUGGGGAAAAUAUGAGUGUGAUCUCGUUGUAAUUUCUUUUGUAUGAUCUAGUGGAUACUCUUAGUCCUGUCAAAUUAUACAUGUGUCGUUUCUAUAUUCGUUUUACUUGUUUCUCGAGUUGGUCGAAUCGUACUUAGGUCUCAACAAUUCCCAUGAUGAUUGAUCAACGCUACCACUAAUUAUCAAGAUCAAAACAGUCGGUUUCUAUUCAAACUAUCACUUUUUAGGUGAUUUAAUUAAACUAAUAUUAAGUUGAAAACUUAUUAAUUACUAAAAUUCAAUAAUGAUAAAUCCCUUAGAGCGUACAACUUCCCCUAAAGUUCAUUUUUACUACGAUUACUUCACUUGCUAUCGACUAACUGAUUCUAUUGUUGCUUAUUAACUCUAUGAAAAUAGAGUUAUUCGGUGCCUUUCACGAGUUUAUUUGGAGUUAGUUUCUAGAGUUUAGACUAGUUUUAGUUGGCUUAUAGUUUAAUUUACAGUCAUUUAUAUUUUGGUAGGAUUUUGUGCUCUGUUUGUUUUCAGGAUUUGAUUUUAAGAUUUUAACUCUAACUUUAAUUCUACUCAUUACACAACAAAAAUCAACUCUUCAAAGUAAAAAAGAUGGGUCACAUACAUAAAUCCACAUACAACUCCAUUAUACUCAAUUCAAUUUUUAAUAUUAAAUUCUAUUAACUAUUCAUUACUUUUUCACAAUUUUUCUCAUAAUUCAACACCACAAUCAUUACAACCUAAUUAAAAUCAAAAUCAACCAAUUAAAAUCAAAAUUCAACUCUCAAACCAAACACAACCUUAGAGUCUUUAAUGGUUUUUGGUGUUUUUAUGUAUUUUGCAGUUAGUUCAUUAAUCGAGUUUUUACAACCUCUAAGUUUUGUGUGUUUUGAACAGGUUAAACUGGAGAUAAUUGAUGCAAAUUGUAUAUGCUUUGAAAGCUUAUCGAUUUAGGAGCGCAGCAGUUCUAACGGUUCGUCAAUUGGAGUUCGGACGAGGAAGAUAUGAUCAAAUCAAGUUUGGCGUGUUUCUAGAAAACGGAGAAUUGCUGCUAUAGUCACGAAACAGACAGUCAAUUGAUCGUUUGAAGUCACUGGUGGACCCCACACCCCCUUCCCUGGUUGACUGUUUGACUGCUAGAAAAAUCUACCUGCACCCCCCUGCAUCUCCUCUUCUGUUAGUUCGAGCACAGCCAAGGCAGGCGUCCCAAUCCAAGCCCCUACCACUUCUUUCUCUUUUUAAGAGGUGAAGAUUGCGCUUUCCCUCUUCCAUACCCAAGUUGAAGUUGUUGGUAUUGCUCUGCAACUGAGAUGGCUCCCAAGGGUGAAGGCAUAGUUGAGUGGACUGACGAGCUAGAGAAUGCUUUCAUUGACAUUAUGGUUGAUAAGAUCCAAAGGACGCAUACAACAUCUUGGAAAUGGAAGGAUUGGGAACAGAUGAAUACGGAACUUGAAGAGAAAUUUCCUAGUGUGAUUCUUGGCGCCGAAAAGUUGUAAAUAAAAGCACAAAGGCUGAAGACAUAGUACAGUCAGUUCACAAAGCUCAUUCAGCACACUGGAGUAGGUUGGGAUGGGCCGACCAACACCGUGAAAGCGAGUCCUGAUAUUUGGGACAAGUUUAUCAAGAGGCACAGCAACUUUAGGACUUUCCGGUGGAAAUGGUGCAAGCAUUAUGAGGCCUUAAAACUAAUGUACAAAUCUGCUACAGCAAUAGGGGGCCUAUGAAUUUCUUCCACCGACCCACCUCAGAGCCCUCGAUCCUAUGCAUGCAUGGAAGAGCAAUUUCUAGCAGCAUGGAACAGCCAUGGGAAAGAGCCUAUUGAUCUUGAAGAGGGCUUUGGCGAUAGUGAUGACCCACUUCGUGAGGUUGAUGAACCAAUCGUUACAGGGUCUAGGUGGCGAGUGAGAAAGAGAGGUUCGAACACCAACACGCAGUUGAAGGAGUUGAUCGACUUGUACAGGGAAAGUAUGACCAAGAAGGAGAAAGUGAAAUAUUCUACCCCUCCGGAGUUAAAGAAGAGCAAGUCCGUAACGAACCCCGAGAAACUAGUGAAGCAUAGCAUUGAGGAAGCCAUGGAUGUGCUCAAUAAAAUGCAGGGAACAAUUUCCAUACCCGAGUAUCUCGCCGAUACCGCGUGUAUUACGAAGGAUGACUGUUGGCGUCGUGCGUUCGUUUGCAUGUUCGAUGAAGCUAGGCGCGAAUAGCUGCGCAACCUUGUUCGUCCUUGAACGGCCAAAUGUUCCUCCUCAUAUGUGUUUAUUAUCUACUUUUUCGUUUUUCUGUUAUGACAUUAACCAAACCUUUAUUUUGUAUUUGUUCUGUUUGAACCUGCUUGUCUUUUAUUGACAUUAAUUUGCUUUGUGUAACUAUCUGUGAUGUGUCCUUCUAUGGUUUUGAUU